GAAUGAUAUAAUAUUGCAGUUUUACACUUUGGAGUCAUUAUUUGACAUAUAGUAAAGCAGGUGUUAUGUAGGUACGGUGUGAUGGAAAGUAUAGAAACCCACUGUCCUGUACAAGGUGUGGGUUAAAGUGGCAUGUGUGUAUUUGUACAGCUGGUGUCUGAAUUAUUCGUAGACCGGAGAAAAGCUCCCCUGAAAACCACAGCUGUGAUUCUGUAAGUGUAAUACUACUAAUAGUAAGUACUUCUGGGAACAUCUCUUUGCAUCCUUUAAACAUUAGUUUAAAACAAAAAAAGGAUCUGAAUGUUUUUGGAUGCAAUCAUCUACCACGUGGCUUUGUACUGUUGUGUUUGUGAGCUUAAUAAAUAACUAAGAGUGAAACAAACUUUCUCAUUUUUAUCCAUUUAGGUUCCCUUUAUUUGAGUUUGAAAAAUGAAAAUCAGGGAUUUUAUGAGAAACAGACUCCAAAUCAGUACUGCAUGUCCUAUUUUAUUAAACUUAUAUUCUUCUUUAUAUUAUAUUCUUCUUUUUCUAGGUGAGGUUUUUUUAUUUUGUUGUAUUUAGCAGGUGUUGAGAAAAAACUCCUCUGGAAUUGUGUAAAAGUAAAAGUUUAAACAUUUUAACAUUUAAAAUGUUAAAAUGUUCAAUGUUCACCUUAAAAAAGGUGAACAUUGAACAUUUUAACAUUUUAAGGCCAAAUAUAGGGUAACGUGCUUGUCCAUCCCAUAAUAUCACCGAUGAGAGCGGGAUUUGUUUUGUUUCAACCGGACGCGGAUUGGCCCAUCUAUACACCCAUACAUGUAUGUACCUUGCUUACAUAAACACCACAGAAGAAGACGUAUCCUAAAGAACCCAUUUUAAUAAUGUGGACUGGAGCGACCAUGAACCGUUCCCCGCCAGUCCUCAUCACUCAUCCCGCAGUUUCCUCCCGCACAUUCUGCAGAAGACGCUCCAUGGGCCAUGGAUGUGUACUUAUCUGGCUUGUUGUUCAGCCUGGAGCUCUGCGAAUAAACACAGACGAGGAAGUGCAAGGGAUUGGAUCCAUAAUGGCAGCAGCAGUGGAAGGCACCCUGUGUCUCUCUCAUCAUUGCAUAGGUUGUCCAGCACUGUGGCUCCAGACCAGUUUACGCAAAACAAUCAAGCCAAGGUCAGUGCUGAAUGAUUUACUUUGUGUCUGUCUUCUGGCUAACUGGAGCACUUCAACUUUUUCGAUCUGUCCAACCCAGGAGAAAAAAAAAAACAUUGAGCCAAUGCUUCUCCUUAUCUCUUUCGCUCUUCUAAUCUCCUGUGAGCGGCAGGAGUGGAAGCAAAGGGGCUGUCAUUGUCCAGGGAUGUGA
rnacentral:lncRNA from 1 species